UACGAAGGGGGCUAGCGUUGUUCGGAAUCACUGGGCGUAAAGGGCGCGUAGGCGGCUUUAUAAGUCGGGGGUGAAAGCCUGUGGCUCAACCACAGAAUUGCCUUCGAUACUGUAGAGCUUGAGACCGGAAGAGGUAAGUGGAACUGCGAGUGUAGAGGUGAAAUUCGUAGAUAUUCGCAAGAACACCAGUGGCGAAGGCGGCUUACUGGUCCGGUCCUGACGCUGAGGCGCGAAAGCGUGGGGAGCAAACAGG
rnacentral:rRNA from 1 species